AACGAACGCUGGCGGCAUGCCUAACACAUGCAAGUCGAACGAGACCUUCGGGUCUAGUGGCGCACGGGUGCGUAACGCGUGGGAACCUGCCCUUAGGUUCGGAAUAACUCAGAGAAAUUUGAGCUAAUACCGGAUAAUGUCUUCGGACCAAAGAUUUAUCGCCUUUGGAUGGGCCCGCGUAGGAUUAGCUUGUUGGUGGGGUAAUGGCCUACCAAGGCGACGAUCCUUAGCUGGUCUGAGAGGAUGAUCAGCCACACUGGGACUGAGACACGGCCCAGACUCCUACGGGAGGCAGCAGUGGGGAAUAUUGGACAAUGGGCGAAAGCCUGAUCCAGCAAUGCCGCGUGAGUGAUGAAGGCCUUAGGGUUGUAAAGCUCUUUUACCAGGGAUGAUAAUGACAGUACCUGGAGAAUAAGCUCCGGCUAACUCCAUG
rnacentral:rRNA from 1 species